rnacentral:tRNA from 1 species
GCAUUGGUGGUCCAGUGGUAGAAUUCUCACCUUCCGUGUGGUAGACCUAGGAUCGAUUCCCAGCAAAUGCA